UACAGAGGGGGCAAGCGUUAUUCGGAAUUAUUGGGCGUAAAGCGCACGUAGGCGGCUUAGCAAGUCGGAAGUGAAAUCCCUCGGCUCAACCAAGGAAGUGCUUUCGAAACUGCUGAGCUUGAGUACUUAAGAGGAUCGCGGAAUUCCCGGUGUAGAGGUGAAAUUCGUAGAUAUCGGGAGGAACACCAGUGGCGAAGGCAGCCCUCUGGGCCACACUGACGCUCAGGCACGAAAGCGUGGGGAGCAAAC
rnacentral:rRNA from 1 species